GAUGAACGCUGGCGGCGUGCCUAAUACAUGCAAGUCGAGCGAACAGACGAGGAGCUUGCUCCUCUGACGUUAGCGGCGGACGGGUGAGUAACACGUGGAUAACCUACCUAUAAGACUGGGAUAACUUCGGGAAACCGGAGCUAAUACCGGAUAAUAUCUUGAACCGCAUGGUUCAAUAGUGAAAGACGGUUUUGCUGUCACUUAUAGAUGGAUCCGCGCCGCAUUAGCUAGUUGGUAAGGUAACGGCUUACCAAGGCAACGAUGCGUAGCCGACCUGAGAGGGUGAUCGGCCACACUGGAACUGAGACACGGUCCAGACUCCUACGGGAGGCAGCAGUAGGGAAUCUUCCGCAAUGGGCGAAAGCCUGACGGGGCAACGCCGCGUGAGUGAUGAAGGUCUUCGGAUCGUAAAACUCUGUUAUUAGGGAAGAACAAAUGUGUAAGUAACUAUGCACGUCUUGACGGUACCUAAUCAGAAAGCCACGGCUAACUACGUG
rnacentral:rRNA from 1 species